UUUUUUUUUUUUUUGGCUAGACUCAUGGGUCACUGUUUCGUCCUUUCUUUCCUUCUUCCUUCCUUUCUUUUCCUUCUUCCUUCUUUUCUUUUCCUUCCUUCCCCACCCCCUAUCCCUCACCCACUCCUUUCUUUCAUUCCUUCUUUCAUCUUUUUAGGGCCACACUGGCGGCACAUGUAGGUUCCCAAGCUAGAAGUCAAACUGGAGCUGCAGCCACGGGCCUACACCACAGCCACAGCAAUGUUCAGACCUGAGCUGUGUCUGUGACCUACACCACAGCUCACAGCAACGCUGGAUCCUUGACCCACUGAGUGAGGCCAGUGAUCGAACGUGCAACCUCAUGGAUACUACUCAGAUUUGUUUCCCCUGAGCCAUGACAGGAACUCCUUUUUUUUUUUUUUAGGGCCGUGCCCACAGCAUAUGGAAACUCCCAGGCUAGGGGUUGAGCAGAGGGAACUCCAUGGAUCACAGUUUCUAUGUCAAGUGGUAGGAGAGUCACCUGCCCAAGAAAGGUACUUGGUAUGAAAAAACUAAGACUAGUUAAUCUUAUUAAAAUUGAGGAACUGAUAAUGUUUUCAGAGGGAUUAUCUUCCAAGGAGUGACUAGGAUCCAAACUCAAAAAAUAAACAGAUUAAGACCAUUUCUUCAGUCUAGUUCCACAGUGUGUACACCAUGAACUUUGCCAAAGGACAGCUGAUAUUUUUCCUACCCCAUCCCCUUCAUUUGGUCACCCAAUUUCAACAGGAAAGCUGGGAGGGACUGGGAGUCUGGGGUUAACAGAUGCAAACUAUUGCCUGUGGAGUGGAUAAGCCAUGAGAUCCUACAGCGCCGCACAGGGAACUCUAUCUAGUCACUUAGGAUGGAACAUGAUGGAGGACAACGUGAGGAGAAGAAGGUAUAUACACACGCGUGACUGGGUCACUCUGCUGUACAGUGGAAAUUGACAGAACACUAUAAACCCACUAUAAUGAAAAAAAUAAAAAUCAUUUAAAAAAUAAAGCUAAAAUUCAGCAAUGUACUAAGUAUGGGGGAAAAAACCAGAAACAGACAUUUGACACAACAGAAGUGGGAUCAGAUGACCUCUUCAUGCAAGUUAAGCACUGGCACCCUUCCUGACAAAACUGCCUAGUUAAAAUCCCAUUCAUUUGGUAAAUAUUUACUUACAGAACACCUUGUGGUGACUGGCCCUGUUCUAAACACUGGACACAGUAUGAGGCUAUCAAGGAACGUACAGUCUAGUGGGACACAUAGAAUCAUCACUGACGCAGCAACGGAGAUGCAGAAAGUACAACUGGGGCACGGAAGUUCAGCCCAGGCUGAUGAAUAAAGGCUCAGCCGUGGCCAGGAGGAGGAGGUUCUAGCUGAUCGACAUUGGCACAGGACCUUCCAGACAGGAGGAGGAGCAUGCGUAAGCAACACUGAGCACAGCACAGCCUCUGGGGAUAACUCGCACGUGGCACCGUGUGAGCACGCAGAGGGCACACUGGGGCGGGGGGGGGGGGGUGGGGGGGCGGCUCUGGUUGGAAAUGGGCCUUCAGCACGCAGACAGGUGCCACAUCACAAAGGGCGGCGGCGGACCUUAUUCUGCAGGUGAAUGGUAAGCAGAGGAAUGAACGGUACAGUUAUGUUUCGGAAAGUUUACUUGGGUCACAGAGGAAAGAUGGAUUAAAAUGACUUAUUUAAGUCAUACUAGAGACUAAAACUAGUAAGAAAGCUAUUAUAUUACAGAAACAGAGGUAAUGAGGGCCAGAACUUGAGAAGCAACAGUGGAAAUGGGCAUAAAGUGACCAAUUUAAAGAAGAUUCAGAAAGUAAAAUAUUCAUGAGGAGUUCCUAUCGUGGCUCAGUGGUUAACGAAUCCGACUAGGAAGCAUGAGCGGGUUCGAUCCCUGGCCUCGCUCAGUGGGUUAAGGAUCCGGCGUUGCUGUGAGCUGUGGUGUAGGUCGCAGACGAGGCUUGGAUCCACAUUGCUGUGGCUGUGGUGUAGGCCGGGCGGCUACAGCUCCGAUUGGACUCCUAGCCUGGGAACCUCUAUAUGCUGUGAUGCAGCGCUAAAAAGACAAAAAAAAAAAAAAAAAGUAAAAUAUGUGACAGACACCACAGGUUCCCAGCUAACUGCCUGCCCACAACUCACUGUAAAGGCUAGAAGAGCCAGACAGGCCCCUUCUCAGCUUCACCACAGUCACCAGGGAGCCAACUCUGGACCGUCUCUUGGGAAAGGAGGGUGGCUGUGGCAAGGCCUUCCCCGUCUAUUCAAAAGAGAUGGAUGUGGAGGAAAGUCCUACUCACCUCUGUCUUCUCCUCCUGCUGACUGAGGACACUAUGUCGGGUGCUGUGACAGUCACUUUACAACUAGGAGGGGACAAAGCAAGAACAAAAGCCAACAUGCUGAGGACAGCAGAGUGGAAAGACGAAAAAGUCUUGGUCCCUGAGGACUGGCCGAGCUGCGGGGCUAAUGCAGGGACUGUUUAUUUCUGGCGUAAGUAUCCUUCCAGUUCAAGCCACUCAUUGUCAAGCUCUCUGUUACUUUCAAAUAAAAUUAACCAAACUAAGAGACAGGGCCUGGUGAGGUGCAGGGUUUGUAACAAAGAGGAAUUUAAGUUUUGUUCCGAAGGCUCUGCCUUGGAAACUGAGAAGAAGGUGCCAGUUACCAAGAUAAAAUUACAGCACAAGAGAUUUGCAUCUUGGGGCUGGGGGGUGAGGCUGAGGUGGGGGGUGGAGGAGAGGAGGAAGGGUCUAAGGGGGGGAGGAGAAAAGGAAAAAAGUUUGUUCCUGGGCAUGCCGACUUAGAGAUAUUACGGAAUCAAGGGAGCUCCCAUUGUGGCUCUGUGGCAGCAAGCCCGACUACUAUCCAUGAGGAUCAGAUUCGAUCCCUGGCCUCGCUCAGUGGGCUAAGGGUCUGGUGUUGCCGUGAGCUGUGGUGUAGGCCGGCAGCUACAGUUCCAAUUAGCCCCCUAGCCUGAGAGCCUCCAUAUGCCAUAGGUGCGGCCCUAAAAGGCUAAAAAAAAAAAAAAUUAUGGAAUCACCCAGGUGAGAAGUUUAUUGAGGUGACUCUGGAACUCUUUCAAACAGUCUGAAUGAGAUCGACAGAUGUGCGGGAAGCCAGAUCCUGCCCCAGCUGCACGGCUCACACUCCCUAAGGGAGACAAGAGACUCAAAGGAGUGGAGUCCAGAUAAAAACUUCCUAAUGUGAAGAGUCCUAGAAAGUGUUAAUCUUCUACUAUGACUCUGAAGAUGUACAGAUACUCUUUAAAAGUAGGAAGAAAACGUUUUAUAGAAUGCAUCUACAGACAUUAUCAUAUUACUGCAUAUUUUUAUUUUAUAAAAACUCCUUAGUAGCCAAGAUAACUGGAGAAACCCAGUAUCUGGAUGGAGGACCAAUGAAGAGCUUGUGCUAAAGUGACUACACCAGAGAUGGGCGCAGCCACUGAAACCCCCGGCCUCACUGUGUAUGCUCGCAAAUCAGCACUUUUGAAUCACCUCAUUCCCAAGACGCGGAAAGUAACUCCAGGACAGGUUUUACCGGGGAUGGAUUACUCCGAAGCACAGAGAGGAACCUAAUCAUUGAGAGGGCAGCAAGCAAUAAUUAAGCACCACUGAGAAAGAUUAAGUAAGCUUCUGAGGGCUGGCGUAUUCCUCCAGGAGAAGGAAGUUAAUUCGGAUGACCCCAAAACAAUUAUUUUCACCCGUGGCAGAGUUAUGGCAGCACUGACCCGCAGCUCCCACCCCAGUGAAAAGGAAAAGCAGAGCAGGCAACAGUCUCACAGAGAAAGAGGCACGAGGAUACACAGCAAGUGGUCCCUAUAAACAGUGAUUAUAAGUGCAAAUCAAAGGCUGAUUUUCUUGUUUACAAAGCUGGGACUGGAUAGGUAGCUCAUGUACCAGGCCUGUAUGUAAGGACAGACGGACAGAUGCGGGCAAUCCUCAUCAAAAGCAUUUAUGACUAGCAAAGAUAAAAGGACUCUGCCCUUGCCAUCAAGCAAACAUGUUCAAAAACCAAAACAGACUUGAGAAAAAUAAGUAUAAUAGAUACAAAUUUUGUCUAUCAACCCACUGGUCUUCAUUCUAAAACCUAACUCUGAGCACACUGCUCCCCACCACGAAAACUUUAAGAGGUUCCCUCCCGGCUCACAGCCUCCCUAAGCCCUUCACUCCAACCCCAAACUAAAUGUUUUGUCCCCUUUCACGCAUUCUAUCUACACUCUAGCCAUGAGGGGACCAGCGGAGAUCCCCCACCCAACCCGUGCUUUCCCACUC
rnacentral:lncRNA from 1 species